UCCUCUCCUGAAGAAAAUCGUAGGUGAUUUUAUGUAUAUAUUUCAAAAUUUUUUGAAACAAAUUACAACAAAAAGCAACUAGAUUAAUCAUAUUAAUCAAACAUGCAUAUGAUUUAAUCAUUAAAUCAACCUACUCUAGGAUCUAUUACAUGAUAUAUAGCAUAUAAAAUUUGAAAAUAAAACAGCAUGCAUGUAUGUAAGAAAUAGAUCAUAUCU
rnacentral:lncRNA from 1 species